UCCCGGGCUCCGCGGGAAGCGCUCUGAGGACUUCUGCUUCCGGACCUCCUGGAGCAAGGAUCGGGAAUUGCAAGGGCGACUGGCUACCACCUUCCUGGGCAGGCUGAGCACAUUACAGACCCCUGCCUACAUCAUCCACGUGGUCGCCCCGAGUAUAGGAAAGCAGACAAAGUGGACCCCUAGAAAUUCCUGGGACCUCCCGAAGGCGUGUUACCUCAGCUCCACGGUUCGACACGGUUCGACACACUUCAUGCCGAACACUUUGAACUUUGGUCCAAAGUUCGGUCAACUACCCCCCACGCAAAAUGGCGAAACAAUUUGAACACACACUGAAUGGUCCAACUGGGUCUCAACCACCAACCCACUCCCCUCCGACCCCAGCGCCAGAGCGGGCUAACGCUGAGGCACCGUGAAGAGGCAUUUCCAGGGCCUGAAGGUGGUGAUCCAGGCCCCUGGAGGGAGAGAGACGAGCAGGACAAGAUGGACAGAGUUCAUUUCCCAGGGAUGCUGAACCCUGCACAAGGUGGAAGUGACUGAGCAAGGAACUAAGGGCUAUGGCUCCGUUGUAUCCCUGGCUCGAGAAGGCCCUGCAGGGGAGCCAGGCGUUUGAGACGCUGAGCAGCACAAAAGAUAACUGGAUGGCCUGGCCAAAGGACUUGGGGAACCCAGAGUGGUAAGAGCUGGAGGUGAUCAGCAUGCAGGUUGACUGGGGGUCACCUCGCUGGACUGGGCUGUGUAGUGAGCCCGUGAGGGCUGGUGAUUUUACUGGCUUGAUACAGAAAUGUGCGCCUGACGCGGGUGGGAAGAAUCGACUUCGGUUGUUGGUGACCACCUGACCAGGGCCUCACCCUUACCAGGAAUGAGGGUUUUUUAAUGGUCUCCAUUAUAACUGUACGCUAGCAGGGGAUCUUUUUCUCUUCCCUUUUGUGUAUGGACACGCUUGUGCGCGCGCAUGUGCUCAGCAGGGCCUGGUUUUGUCCACCACGUGGGUUCCAUGAAUCAAACACCUUUGUCUGCUUAACCAUAUCACCAGGUCCCUAGCAAAGGAUGUUCAGAUACCUUCCCUGUUCCGGUUGACUUUGUAAUAGGGGGGGAGGUAAAUGUUUAGAGGUGUGAGUAAAAACAAAGAGUGCAAGCUGACUCCAGUCAUGAAGCAAUGGAAGAGGAAGUCACGCGCGUGAGUGCCCGAAGAAGGGCAAAUAGGUGUGAAGGACAGAAGCCAAGCUCAGGGUCUUGACUUCAUUCACAUGAGGAAUGUGCCAGAGUGAAAGGCUAUAGGGAGACAGUGCGUCAGCUGGGGAGCAGCAUUGGCUGUACGAGAAAAGAAUGUAAGUAUUGUUCAUGCUUCCAUUAGGCUCCGAGGAAAGCCAGCCUGCUCGUGCAGCUGGCCCAGAUGCUCAAGUGAGAAUCGGAUGUCCUUUUGAAAGUAAUGCCAACUGAAACUCCCUCAGCUUCAUUAACACCUGAAAACGUGUGGUCCCCCUUUUCCGUGACACCCCAGGCUUUUAAAACCUAGGCUCCUGGUGUUCGUUUGUGAUCAGCAAGUAUAUUUAUACUUAUGUUUUAGGAUUUUUUUUUUAACUGCCAAAAGCCCAAGGCCCAUCCAGAUAUCAAGUAGCUGCUUCCAACUUUCUUGAUGCUUCCCUGUAGCCACAAAAGAAAGCCAAGUACAAAAUGCCCCUUGCGAGGAAGAGAGGGUAGAGUGAACAAGAGGGAAGGGAGCAGGAGCCAGGAAAAGCAAGCCUAUUGGUAGUAGGGUUCCUUUUGGUUUGUGGCUUUGGGGAAGGCACAGCCUGGAGGGGAGCCUUCUCUGCGCAUAGUUCAUAUUUGUGCCAUUGGUUUUCAGGUAAAGGAGACUGACACACAAAAGGGAAAAUAAAAAAAAGAGUGCAGGCGACCACUACGUUUCUAAGCUUCCCAGCGACAGAGGUUUUCUGUGUGCUUCUCUGAGUAGCAAUAAGACUUAGAAGCUGUUCAAUUAAUUACUGUUCAAUUAAGACUGCUGCAGCCCCCCUUCCCCUGCCAGCACCUCCACCAGCAUUGGCCGAUGGAGGCAGCAGCAAGCAGCUUACUGCUGUCUGCAGAAGGGGCUGUGUGGCUGGACUGUUUCAGGCAAAUGCUAAUUAAAGGAAAGAUGCCUUUAACAGAUAGGGCAAGAUAUUGGACUAGGGACUGAUGUAGGGUGGCUGUUAGGGGGAUGAGAUGAUGUUUAUUAAUACAGCCCAUCAGCUCUGGAUGAAAAGCCCUCAUAAGAAUUCAGGCCCCUCAUUUAGGGUUGUUAGCAAUGGUUCAGUCACAGCAACCUUCUUUGUGGAAGGGUCACCAAAUUGUGCCUUAGCCUGUCAUGCUCCUGCUACUUGCGUCCGCACAGGGUGUCCACAUGGCGCUUUGUGGUUUCUUUGUGCAGAACAGCUGAGGAUGCUACAGAGGCCAUUAAGGGAGAAGUACCUAUGCCGAAUGAGAGAAUGCGAACA